rnacentral:rRNA from 1 species
AUUGAACGCUGGCGGCAGGCCUAACACAUGCAAGUCGAACGAGUGGCGGACGGGUGAGUAAUGUCUGGGAAACUGCCUGAUGGAGGGGGAUAACUACUGGAAACGGUAGCUAAUACCGCAUAACAUCGGAUGUGGCCAGAUGGGAUGAGCUAGUAGGUGGGGUAAAGGCACACCAAGGCCAAGAUGCCUAGCUGGUCUGAGAGGAUGACCGGCCACACUGGAACUGAGACACGGCCCAGACUCCUACGGGAGGCAGCAGUGGGGAAUAUUGCGCAAUGGGCGAAAGCCUGAUGCAGCCAUGCCGCGUGAAUGAAGAAGGCUUUCGGAUUGUAAAAUACUUUCGGCGGGGAAGCGUUACCCACACAGGAAGCACCGGCUAACUCCGUGCCAGCAGCCGCGGUAAUUC